ensembl:lncRNA
GGCCUCGGGGCCGUCCGGCGCCGCGCUGUGACAUCGCCGGUGGGAAUGCCCGGUGUGUUGAGGGGCGGCUGGCUCCCUUCUCCCUUGGUUCAAAAACCCGAGGGGCGUGUAAUAUAAACGUUCUCUUCUCGGCAAACGACUCGUCGCUGAUACUCGGAUUGAUCUGAUUUUGCGUUUGUGCUCGUUAAAAUGCAGCGGAGCGACGGAACGGCAGGGCGGGAAACUUUCCGCCCCAGACGGCGUAGCGCCGUGCAGGAGCAGGCAGUGCAGCUCCGCGCUGCCCUCCGGGAGCGCUCGAGCGAGGAGCGCAUGCCGGCCUUCCGCCCGGUGGCCGCACACGGGCGCAGGCGUCGCUUUGUACGGGCACCGAAUCUGGCGCUCAGUCCUAACGCCGUGGGCCUGGAGCGGCUCCAGGGGCUGCCCGCGAGCCGCGCACACGGUGCGUAUCUGGGGUAGCUCCGCUUGUUGGACUCCGGCCAGGCGCAGAGCGGAGUAGCGGAGCUCAGGCGCUGAUCCCGCUGCCCGCGGCCGUCGUUUUCCCGGUAUCUUUCUACGGCAGAAAGCACCGUGGGAUUUUUGCCCCCUGCAGGAGCCGGGUUAGCCACGUGCGGGAGCGGUGAACUACUCCCGUUGCUAACCGCACGUGCAUCCGCGCUGCUACAAGGCGCAGCCCGGAGCGUUUCACGUCUCGGUGGUGAGAAGUUGCCGGCACCGUGCAGCACCGGAGCUCCCAGGCAGCCCGUAGGCCACGCUGACCGGCUCUCUGUGCCCGGGCUGCCUGCCUUCGGGGGGAACGUCCUCCCUCUGCGUGCCGAGGGGGCUGGAAGGAGGGCAGCCCGUGAAGAGGAGCGGUAGCAGAAGGUGAGCGCUCGCAGCACGGCUGCUCUCGAGCUGCCGCUGCGUGCCCGGUGCUGCUGGUGACGUGCUCCACGGAGAGGCAGUUCACCCGUGUGACUGAGAGCACUGGAAAACAGUUACUUAGUAAAGGCUGCCUCUGCAUAGUUAAGAGACUUCCUGCAAGUACACGGCGCAGCUCUUCUCCCUGGCCUGGUCUGAUUCACUUAGGAGAGGCCGAAGGAACCGGUCUUGUUUUAAGAGACAUUUACACAAGGCCUGGAAUUUCACUUAACAAAAAUUUUUAUGUAAUAGAUCCAGUGGCCUAGUUUCACCUUCAUUAAGAAAAUAGGCGCUAAAUGUGCUCACCUGGAAAGCAACUGCCGAUUUCAACAUUAGGAUGUGAAAGCAGUGGUCUCGGUGCCGUGGCUGGCAGAGCAAAACGAAGGCCCGGUUCCCCCCCGUGCUGAAGUUCAGCAGCACGUCUGGGGACGCAGCAGCGAGGGCUGUCAUUGCUCGUGCAGCGCUGGCUUUUGUUGUGGUGUGCUAAUUGAGGGGAAACGCGAUGAAGAACUGCGGCAGGGCUUAAAGGAAACGCGUGUCAGAAUUGCGGAGGGGCUGCAGCGCUGGCUGGGUGAAGGGCUGUGUGGCAGCUGUAGGGCUGCCUGGGGGCGCACCGGGUUGGGGCGGCCGCUGCACAGGUACGGUCUGGGCGCCCUGCGCAGCUCGGGUGGCAGAUGGAGCUGUAGGUCUCCUUGGAGGUACCCGUACCGACUCUGCUCUAACAAAUACCGACACAAUUAGCUGAAGAGGCAGCAGUCUGACUGGCUUGGCACAGGUAAACGCUGCAGCUUGCUGAAACGACGUGCUGUAUUCCAGUGAGUACUCCAUAGGAAGUUGUAUGCUUUGCUCAGCCUGAGCUUGCGAGCUGAAAAUCCUGAUCUCAUUCGGUUUUACUCAGGCAGAGGCACAGCGAUUUGGGAUCUGAUGUCAUACGCGCAUCUCGUUCGGCGGUUUGCAUUUUUCUAUGAGCUGAAGUUUUUCACACGGUUCUGGCUUAGCUGAUAGAUGAUGGAUGCUUUUACAUGUAAGAAACUUCGCAGUCUCCCGACCUCUGUAGAAAGGCAGAAACUGGAUCUGUGAGUGCAAUUCCUUUUUGAUCCCCCUGCGAACACUGAGAGGGUAAUGCUGGAUGCUUUCUGUUUUUCCCCUAAAAGCUGUAGUCUGAGAUGGCUCUGAAACACAUGCAAAUCUGUGUGCGUGUAUUGGUCCCAGCCUGCAAAGUUGCUUCAGCACACGUCCCAGCGAGGGUUUUGCUGAAUGAGGAUUGAUUAAAGAACCUAUCUGGAGUUAAGUAUGUGUGUAAAUCCUUCCGUAAAUAGGGACGAGUCAGCGUGCUCAUAAACUGAAACAACAAAAGUGCUUCUCAGUGAGGGAGAAACGGUCCCACUAAGUCCUUUUAUUGUCCCAAGAGUGAUAAAAAUAUUUGGUGAGAUUCCAAGUGGGGAAAAAAAAAAAAAAGAAAAAACGUAUUUAGUUGGAUAUGUGAUGUCAGCAGAAUGUCAGUGCCGUUGCGCUCAGUACUUCUGCUGAAGAAGAAUUCAGAAAUAGAAAAAAGAAGAAUGAUGCUGGUAGCAUUGGCCGUUGUUUGCAUUGUUUGAGCGUUUGCAGCACUGUGCACUGGCUCUGAUGUGCUGCGGUUAAGGACGAGGUAACACCACGUUCCCCUGGCUGACUGCAUUCACCCACUGGCAGCGGUUGCAGCAGUAUUCUGUGAGUGGUGCCCCUCCUCAGAUGACACACGUUCUGCUGGCCCUGAAGUCAGCUCGACUCGCGUGUGGUUCUUCACCUCGUUAAGGUCACAUUUAGGGAAGGAGCGCUCUGUUGGAAUAAGUGGGCUACGUUCUCUGCUGUAUGCGUGCGGUCUGCAAGACUGAAUCUAUAGUUUAUUUGUGCUUGAGUAAUAGCGAAGCAGUCGCUCAGGCUUCAUUAGGGUGUCUUAAGGGUGCUGUCAUUUGAGUCUUACCUGUGUUUUUGCUUUGUUUUAUUUCGGUUCCCACCUCCUCAACUUUGGGAUCGACAGUCACGCCGCAGGCCGAGCCAGACGGGCGAGCAAUACAAGCUGUGAAUUUAUUGUUGACACCUGCAGGACAGUGACCACCUUCGCCGUCGUCUUCGCCAUACAGAGAUGCGCUGUCAGUGAGAUCCUGGAGCCCAGGAAAGAGUUUUAAUGCAAAGCAUCAGAAAAAAAAAACCGCUGCAGCAUCUCAUGUGAGAGAGGGGAGAGAAGAAAGGAGACUCGCGCAGUAACAUCUCAAAACACUCAAAUGGUUUGAGGGUCUCCAUUGAUAGGAAUACUCUUUUGAUGUAUUUUGCAUGGAAAGUAAAGCAGGAAAAGGUUUUAAG